rnacentral:rRNA from 1 species
ACGAACGCUGGCGGCGUGCCUAAUACCUGCAAGUAGAACGCUGAAGGAGGAGCUUGCUUCUCUGGAUGAGUUGCGAACGGGUGAGUAACGCGUAGGUAACCUGCCUGGUAGCGGGGGAUAACUAUUGGAAACGAUAGCUAAUACCGCAUAAGAGUAGAUGUUGCAUGACAUUUGCUUAAAAGGUGCAAUUGCAUCACUACCAGAUGGACCUGCGUUGUAUUAGCUAGUUGGUGAGGUAACGGCUCACCAAGGCAACGAUACAUAGCCGACCUGAGAGGGUGAUCGGCCACACUGGGACUGAGACACGGCCCAGACUCCUACGGGAGGCAGCAGUAGGGAAUCUUCGGCAAUGGGCGGAAGUCUGACCGAGCAACGCCGCGUGAGUGAAGAAGGUUUUCGGAUCGUAAAGCUCUGUUGUAAGGGAAGAACGAGUGUGAGAGUGGAAAGUUCACACUGUGACGGUAUCUUACCAGAAAGGGACGGCUAACUACGUG